UAUCUCCUGCAGCGUUCGAGAGUGUGCUGGGUGUUUCCUGAACCUGUAUUUACCCCGGGGGCGAAUUCCGUUACUGGUGUGCAUGCCCGUUUUAUACGGGAAGCCUGAUGUACCGGUUACCGUCCCCACUUGAACUUCCGGUUCAAGGACGAAAGCACAUAACGGCGCAGGC
rnacentral:other from 1 species